GACCGGUCGCCGUUUGUGAGAAAUCUGGCGGCUCUUUACGUUCGGGAGCCGGCCCGUCAUUUAGUGGCCGCGUUUGCUCGCGUGUCUUUGACGAGUUUGGCGCACGAGACGCAUCCAAAUUGUCGACCACGCAGGCUCAUUCUUGAAUGAACCACUGGUGUCGAGGGCCGUCGUACGUAUGCUUUCAUUUUCUUAUUGAUGAUUGUCUGAAAUGUUUAAUGAAUGCAUCCAAGUGAUAGCUAGCACAAUUAGUAUUGUCUGAUAUAUUUUCUGUUAGCUGUGAGCGAUGUUGAAUUCAGCGGAAAUGGCAACAAACCAACGUAGCGCCACUUUCGUCGCGCUUUCAAUUUUGUACUUUGAUUUACUGUACUACUGGGUGCAGGUUCUUUAGUUUUGCUGUUUACCGUCAUUAGUUUAUCAUUGUCAAAGUAGACAACGUUUAUACAUAUGUUUGGGGUGGUUCUAGGGCCGUCCAGCUGAGUGUGAGCCAGCUGAGCCGCGGACCUACGAGUGCGGACUGAGAUUGAGCCAGCCGCUGCCACUGUUUUUGUUCCACCGUCGUGCCCAAACAUAUCUGAAAACCGUCCGUCUGUUUGUCUCUCCGACCGACUGUCUGUUGGUACAUCACUGCCUGCUUGCUGCUCCUUGAAUACCAUUUGUUUCAUGAC